UACGUAGGGGGCAAGCGUUGUCCGGAAUCAUUGGGCGUAAAGCGCGCGUAGGCGGCCCGGUAAGUCCGUUGUGAAAGUCAAAGGCUCAACCUUUGAAUGCCGACGGAUACUGCCGGGCUAGAGUCCGGAAGAGGCGAGUGGAAUUCCUGGUGUAGCGGUGAAAUGCGCAGAUAUCAGGAGGAACACCCGUGGCGAAAGCGGCUCUCUGGGACGGUACUGACGCUGAGACGCGAAAGCGUGGGGAGCAAACAGG
rnacentral:rRNA from 1 species